rnacentral:lncRNA from 1 species
GUUGAUCAUUUUGCUCACCCUCACUAGUUGUUGUCAAUUCACAUACCAAUGUAGACUCACCUUGUUUUUCACAAGGGUCAACUAGUGUGUGAAUACUCUCGUCACUUGGUAAUGGAACCUUAGUCAAGUUGUAAGUGCUAGCACCAGAUGGACACAAAUCAUUCACACAAGGAGAAUCAAUUUCGUCAUCUAAAGUAUCAACUAGUGAUUGUGUACCUACAACAAGAGUUUGGUCCUCAUGUGACCUAACAAUAUCAAGAAUAUCACAAAAUGAAGACUCAUGAAUUCUUACACUAAGUAAAACUGCAACUAAGUUUAUAUGAGUGUAGGGGAUAACAUUUUUACCUCGUAGCUCGCAUGAGCUACGGUCUUUAUCUUGAUGUGUGUCCGGGGAGCCCACUUUCUCCCUUGGAACUCUCAUAUGAUCUAACCUUUCAUUUAUCACUUCUCAUUAUUGGGUAAUGGCUUCAAGUUUAGCCAAAAUAGUACUUGCAGCCACGGGUUCAAUCAUGAUUGCACCAAAAAAAGAAGAAAAAAACAAGUCUACAAAAUAAAACACAAGUUAGUUCAAAACAACCUCACCAUACUCUCACACACGUGAUCGUUUCACACUUGGAUUCAUAAGUGUUGCAAGUCGGCUUGUGGAUCAUAAUGAGUCGAGGGGUGAGUCUACUCCUUGGUCAGAAUGGAUUCUUUUUUUGAAGACUCAAGGAAAUAAUGUUCGGACUUGAACCAAGAAAUUCUAAGAUUCAAAAAUAAGAAAAGCACAAAAUAACACUAACACGAACAAACGGGCACAAAAACUAACUAACAAGCUAGUAGGAGAUUACUAGGUCGUCAGUUGGUGUUCAAACCAACAAACGAAACUAAGAAACAAUAAAAUAAAACUAAAAAAUAUAAAAUUUGAACUCAAAAUGUUGCAUGAACAGUAAUUUAGUGAUGUAGCGGUCCACUAUUGGCCUCGGUUUUGUCAAAAUUUUACUCUCCAAUUUCAAGUCUUGACCAAUCUACAAUUUGGAAAUGGUUGAUUUUGUUAAUGGAGGGAAAUUUGGUCUUGGAGCUUCAUUUUCAAGUUCAAAACAAGACUUGACCUUCUUGGUACUUUCUCCUUGAAACAAGGUCCUUAAAUCAAGGAAAGUAUGUGAAAAGUGGUUGUCAAGUCUUUUGAGUGAUGUGAUCAAGUCUUUCACCAACAAGUACUACAACUUGGUCUUUCACCUUUUGUGGAUCUAAUGUUCACUUUUUGUUUUAACAAAAGAUGAAAAGGGUGAAGAACAACAAGAACACAAUAACAACACCAAGAACAACAACAAUAUUCUCCAAGAACAACAAUAAAUUUCAACGCCCAACUCCACAAAACCUAGGCCUUCAACACAGUCAAAGCUUAGAAUGAAAACAACAUCAAAUCAGCCACACUUUGUUCACAUUAAUAUCAACAAGUUCAAGUUCAAGCUUAGAUUUGCACACUAUUUAGUGUUGGUGAGAAAGAAACCAACACUAUAAACACUCUAAAUAACAAAAGACUACAAGAUUUAGUCACAAAGAAACAAUUCUCGGACAAGACAACAACAAGAAUAACAACUUUCUCGGCCAAGGACAACAAGAACGGGUAGAUUACUUCUUUUCUGGAAUAUUUUUUUUCAGUCUUUCAACUCUUUUUUUAAAUUUUUUUUUAACUCUCAAGCCUAAGAUUGAUCUUGUUAGAAAAAAAUCAAAUAUGGCUCUGAUACCAAAUGAUACAAGAAUUACAAGGACAACACGAAACACACUUCAAAAUCAGUCCACAAGAGCAAAGAUCCGAGGACCCUUUUGAAGACCACACUCGGAUUCAACAAACAAAAACAAGAACACAAUGUAUUGAGGUGUUUAUCACCUAAAAACAGCUAACAACAAACUAUGUUAACAACAACAAGAUGAAUAAAAACAACAAUGGAACAAGAACAACAAGUCACGGAUUUGAAUUACAAGAACACAAAAAAAAUGAUUACAACAUAAACAAAAUGGAUAGAUAGUUAGACCUUGGUUGGUAUAAUCUUAAGAAUCCAAGAAUAUGGUAAUCUUGGACACUUAACACUACAUACAACGGUUAACCGAACUCCUCCGUUGACACAAGAGGAACUUUACCUCCUCUAAACACCAACGUCUCAAGCCAACAUUACAACACAAGUGAUAUCCACACUUGUUGCCCUAAUUUCGAUGUGGUGGCUAUUCCAAGCCCUACAACUUAAGGUUUUUCAUGUUUCAAGUCUUACAUCAAUCAAUAACUAAUGAGAAAAAGACCUAAAAUGUUCUAUUUAUAUUUUAUUACAAGACAAGGCAAAAUAACAAUAAUGCCCUUAAAGGGUGGGGUGGCCAUGGAGUGCAUUUGGACCCAAUGAAGUGACCGAAAUACCCUUAAUGAAUAUGACCAAAUCAUGACCCAUUAAGUGUUGUCCAAAACCGUGAGUCCUCAAGUCUUCGAUGCUCCAAACAAUCUUCCAUACAUGGCCUUGCUUGUGCUUAAAACGGGUCUUCCUUGCAUAUUCUUGUGCCCUCGUGGUGACCAAGUCUUGAGCCUUUAAAAGAUUACCUCGAAUCAUGUCUUCAAAAAUUAAGGUGGCCAUUUGACUUGUAUCAUCCUUCCCUUCUUAAAAAGGAUUUGACCUCAAAUCCAAACCUUGCAAGAACAAAGAGAAGACAAACAAGCACCACAUCCUCAUGACAUGAGGGUUAGAGUUAGUACAAUAAACAACAUCUACAUGCCAAGGAGGUACACACUUAAGAUAUAACCACAAGUCAUUUGUUAUAAUCACGAGGGACAUAGAAAAAAAUUACAAAGGAGUUGGCGAAAGGAAUCACCAUCAAGGGGUGGUGUCCUAAUUGAAAGUAAAGUCCACCUAACACAUAUAACAAUAUCACCCAAACAAGUGGACUGACCAACAACUAUCCAUCCUUCACACCCUAAGAAGUUAUCAGGAUCGAAUGGGAGACGUAACCAAGGGCUUAGGUCUCAACCACCCUCACUUUCCCCUAGGGUGUCAUCCUUUAAAUUAAGCAAGCCCUCUUUCUCACUAUUGAAAAUAUCAUGAACUAAAAGAGGGUUGAGAAAGGUGUUCCAUAAGUCAACUUCAAAUAAAGGGUUCCCAUGCAUGCAUUUUCUACUAGUUUCAAAAUUUUCACUAGGAAUAUACCCAACAUAAGAAACACAUAAAGAAAAAGCAGAUGGCAUUUCUAAGUACAUAUCACCUUCUCUUUCAUAAGAGUUGUCCUCACAUACGUACAAACCAUAACGGGAAGCCAAAGGACCACAAUCAAAAUCAUCUUCACAAAGACAAUCACAACUCAGGUUUUCUAAAUAUUCAAGCAAAUCAAGAUCAUCUAUGCAAGGUUGAUCAUUUUUCUCACCCUCACUAGUUGUUGUCAAUUCACAUACCAACGUAGACUCACCUUGUUUUUCACAAGGGUCAACUAGUGUGUGAAUACUCUCGUCACUUGGUAAUGGAACCUUAGUCAAGUUGUAAGUGCUAGCACCAGAUGGACAAAAAUCAUUCUCACAAGGAGAAUCAAUUUCGUCAUCUAAAGUAUC